rnacentral:rRNA from 1 species
UACGGGGGGGGCAAGCGUUGUUCGGAAUUACUGGGCGUAAAGGGCUCGUAGGCGGCCAACUAAGUCCGACGUGAAAUCCCAAGGCUUAACCUUGGAACUGCGUCGGAUACUGGAUGGCUUGAAUUCGGGAGAGGGAUGUGGAAUUCCAGGUGUAGCGGUGAAAUGCGUAGAUAUCUGGAGGAACACCGGUGGCGAAGGCGGCAUCCUGGACCGGUAUUGACGCUGAGGCGCGAAAGCUAGGGGAGCAAACGGG